rnacentral:RNase_P_RNA from 1 species
CUGCGAGAGCAGAGGAAAGUCCGGGCAGGAAAGAGCACUGCACUGUGGAAAGCACAGAUAGGCGUAAGCUUAUGAUACGGGUAGCAGAAAAUAACCGCCUCGCAAGAGGUAAGGGUGAAAAGGUGGGGUAAGAGCCCACCGGCCGCAAUGGCGACAUUCCGGUGGUAUCCGCCUGCAGCCUGCAAGGCCAAAUAUACCAACAAUCAAGGGCUGCUCGUCCAAUGUUGGGGGGUAGGCUGCUUAGAUAAAUGAUAGGGACCUGUUUACAGGCACAGAACUCGGCUUAUAGUUCUGCCUU